rnacentral:RNase_MRP_RNA from 2 species
CCCUCGCCCAAAAAAUCGCAAUCGAAGCUACAAACAGAGACACUUCCAUUUUCGAUGGAUUUGUCUCGAAAUACCUACAAAAUCUGCUUUGGGAGAAAGUCCCCGGACAUCCUGUACAUUGCAAAAUGAUCAGGAACGCGGAAACGCGCCGCCAUAAAAGCACCGCGGCUUAAGCUCGUUUUAUCGUCUUGUCUUUAUCCAAUCUUCAUCUGCCCCGGGCGUACUGUUUUAAAAUCUUUUCCAAACCUACUUUCCUUACCAGCUCAGAGUUCAUGCUCCGUCCCGAGACCCCAAUGGACGAAGAUAUGAGUCCGCGCUCGUGGUUCGGGGUUUCUGGUGCUUGUGUGGGUGUGAGUUGGGUACGGAAUCGAUGGUUCGUCGGACGCAUUGGUGGGGUGGUGGGACGUCAUGGAUGGUACUGGAGUCAACCUUUUCGUCGAUAUCAAUAGUUAUGCGAUUGCCCUGGUUCUUUCUCUUUUGGGGAGAAGCCGGGGUAACUCGAUGGGGCUUAUUCUUGGUGCGAGG